GUCUCCGUGGCGCAACUGGUUAGCGCGUCUGACUGUUAAGAAGUAAUAACUUCGGGUAUCAGGAGGUUGACAGUUCGAGCCUGUCCGGGGACG
rfam:TPA: Aspergillus nidulans FGSC A4 chromosome VII